rnacentral:rRNA from 1 species
ACUCCUACGGGAGGCAGCAGUAGGGAAGUCUUCCACAAUGGGCGCAAGCCUGAUGGAGCAACACCGCGUGAGUGAAGAAGGGUUUCGGCUCGUAAAGCUCUGUUGUUAAAGAAGAACACGUAUGAGAGUAACUGUUCAUACGUUGACGGUAUUUAACCAGAAAGUCACGGCUAACUACGUGCCAGCAGCCGCGGUAAUACGUAGGUGGCAAGCGUUAUCCGGAUUUAUUGGGCGUAAAGAGAGUGCAGGCGGUUUUCUAAGUCUGAUGUGAAAGCCUUCGGCUUAACCGGAGAAGUGCAUCGGAAACUGGAUAACUUGAGUGCAGAAGAGGGUAGUGGAACUCCAUGUGUAGCGGUGGAAUGCGUAGAUAUAUGGAAGAACACCAGUGGCGAAGGCGGCUACCUGGUCUGCAACUGACGCUGAGACUCGAAAGCAUGGGUAGCGAACAGGAUUAGAUACCCU